GAUGAACGCUGGCGGCGUGCCUAAUACAUGCAAGUCGAGCGAACAGAUAAGGAGCUUGCUCCUUUGACGUUAGCGGCGGACGGGUGAGUAACACGUGGGUAACCUACCUAUAAGACUGGUAUAACUCCGGGAAACCGGGGCUAAUGCCGGAUAACAUUUAGAACCGCAUGGUUCUAAAGUGAAAGAUGGUUUUGCUAUCACUUAUAGAUGGACCCGGGCCGUAUUAGCUAGUUGGUAAGGUAACGGCUUACCAAGGCAACGAUACGUAGCCGACCUGAGAGGGUGAUCGGCCACACUGGAACUGAGACACGGUCCAGACUCCUACGGGAGGCAGCAGUAGGGAAUCGUCCGCAAUGGGCGAAAGCCUGACGGAGCAACGCCGCGUGAGUGAUGAAGGUCUUCGGAUCGUAAAACUCUGUUAUUAGGGAAGAACAAAUGUGUAAGUAACUGUGCACGUCUUGACGGUACCUAAUCAGAAAGCCACGGCUAACUACGUG
rnacentral:rRNA from 1 species